rfam:Geobacillus sp. Y4.1MC1, complete genome.
GGGGCCUUAGCUCAGCUGGGAGAGCGCCUGCUUUGCACGCAGGAGGUCAUCGGUUCGAUCCCGAUAGGCUCCA